UGAGUAUGAAGUGUCCUUCCUUAUCUUUUUUGAUGAUUCUUUUCUUUUUCUAAGAGGGAGAUCAACCACCCAAGUCCUGACAAAGCUUCAGGAAGAACUGGAGGUACUCGCCCUGGCCGUGUGCCUUAGCCAUUAAGCUGUCCCAAUUCCUGCUCCCAGCUGUCCCUAUGGAGAUGGCCGUGCUUCUCCUCCUCUUUGGGGGCUUCUGGGCCCAGGUGGUGAGCCAAGAAAAUCUGCAGAAUAUGCGGAUGUUGCCAUUUACUCUGCAUAGCAAGUCCCCAAGUACCACUGAAGCCUUGAGUACCAACUCAUCAAUCGCUAUGUUGCCAGGGCAGUGGACCCAAAGGAGCGUUUCAGCCCCUGGAGGCAGACCCCAGUCCCAGCUUCCUCGACUCCCUUGGGAACUCCAGAAUUGUUUUCUUUUGAGACACUAGCUGGUACCAGCAGGAGUACUCAGUACCUAAGCCUACAACCUCUCAGGACAUUUAUAACACGGAAUUAUCAAUACUAGUUCAAAAAUUAUCAGAUGUAGUUAGUAACUCUCCUCUCACCAUAACUAAUCCUGUGACAAACAGAACUGUGGCAUCUACCUCUUUAGAAACCUUUAAAGGGACCAGUGCACCUCGGGUGACUGUGACAACGAGCUCUACCAUGGCCAGUGGACCCUCUGUGGCUAGAACUGUAAGCUCCAAGACCAGUGGCCCUCCAGUCUCUAUGGCUAUUGGUGGCACCCAAGGCUCUGGUACAAAAAUAUCCAGGUCUACCCCAAAUCCCAUAACCACCAUGUCACCACGCCAAGGAGUAAGUGGCAUGUGGCUGCUCCCCAUGCUCAUUGCCUUGGUGGUGGUUGUGGCCCUCAUGACGGUACUGUUGCUGUGGUACCAGAGGCAGAAGCGAAGGCUCCUGAGCAGAGGUGGAAAACGAAAUUGGGUGAUGGAUGCCUGGGCUGGGCUAGCCCCGAUUCCUGAUAAAGAGGCCACAACCGGAUCAUGAACAGGGAGCAACAAGUGCUCUGGAGAACCGGAGACGGACAGCUGGGGCAGGGGCCCAACCUCUCCACUUUCUUCAGCAGAUGGAAGUCUAGCCAGUGCUCCUUAGAAGAGCUGAAAUCUGGGAAGGAUCUAAACCUGAAGGGGGAGAAAGAGCCUCUGGUAGGCAGUGAGGACAAAGCUGUGGAAACCCCAACUUCUGACAAGCCACAAGACAAAGACGGGGCUGCACCUCAAUCCCUAUGAGUAGCUGUAUUCACCUAGUGUGCUCCUUAACCUCAAAUCUGUUGUCAGCUGCCUCACACUCUGCAUUUGUGAAUAUUUGUGGACCAAAUCUAUUUGUUCAUUCAUUAUUCAGCCAUUCAUUCCCCCCAACCCCCGCUGUUUUCCACCUCCCCUUCCUCCGUGCUCCCUUUGAAUCUCCACAAGGAUAAGCUUAGUUGACCCCCAUUUUCCAAGGAUCCCCCUUGGAAUGCUGGGAUCUGACCAGAAGAAUGAAAACUCCAGAGGAGGGCAUUAUGACAUAUAAACACCCCCACCCCACCCUCAGCAGGGGCCCCCUGAGGACUGCUUCUCAACUAUCAUUUGCUUUGGGGAAAGCUUAGAGUCUGGAUGUAGCCAUCCAGUUUGCCCUUGGGUGAAUUGUGACCUGUGACUUUUCCCAGAGCACUCUGAUUUUGGGCUGGCUGGUAGCUGCUGGGGGGAGCCUGCCACAGAUCAGUCACUUCUCCUGGAGGUAGGGAUGAGGAGACUUCCUGGCUCCAUGUGGUCCCUGCACCUGCUUUGUCCACUCGGAAGUAUGGUUUAUGUGCAAGACAGGACAAUUUAGAUGAUGGCUGUGAACAGUAAUGAGGGAGAUCAACUGCCCCAGUCCUGACAAAGCUUCAGGAAGAACUGGAGGUACUCGCCCUGGCCGUGUGCCUUAGCCAUUAAGCUGGUCCCAACUCCUGCUCCCAGCUGUCGCUAUGGAGAUGGCCGUGCUUCUCCUCCUCUUUGGGGGCUUCUGUGCCCUGGUGGUGAGCCAAGAAAAUCUGCAGAAUAUGCGGAUGUUGCCAUUUACUCUGCAUAGCAUGUCCUCAAGUACCUCUGAAGCCUUGAGUACCAACUCAUCAAUCGCUAUGUUGCCAGGGAGAGUGGACCCAAAGGAGAGUAUCAGCCCCUGGAAGCAGACCCCAGUCCCAGCUUCCUCGACCCCCUUGGGAGCUCCAGAAUUGUUUUCUUUUGAGACACCAGCUGAUACCAGCAGGAGCACCCCAGUAACUGAGCCUACAACCUCUCAAGACAUUUACAACACGGAAUUAUCAAUGCUGUUUAAAAAAUUAUCAGAUGUACUUAAUGACCCUCCUGUCACCAUAACUAACCCUGUGACAAACAAAACUGCGGCAUCUACCUCUUUAGAAACCUUUAAAGGGACUAGUGCACCUCCCGAGACUGAGACAAGAAGGUCUACCAUACACAUACGGUCCUCUGUGGCUAUAACUGUAAGAUCCAAGGCCAGUCAUCCUCCAGUCACUAUGGCUAUUGGUGGCACCCCAGGCUCCAGUAUAAAAAAUUCCACAACUACCCCAAAUGCCACAACUACCAUGUCACCACGCCAAGGAUUUAGUGGCAUGUAGCUGCACCCCAUGGUCAUUUCCUUGGUGGUGGUUUUGGCCCUCAUUAUGGUACUGUGGCUGUGGCACCAGAGGCUGAAGCAAAGGACACUGAGCAGAUUGGAAUACUAAAUAGGAUGAUGGAUGCCUGGGCUGGGCCAGACCGGGUUCCUGAUGAAGAGGCCACAACCGGAUCAUGAACAGGGAGCAACAAGUGCUCUGGAACACCGGAGUCAGACGGGUGUGGGUAGCGGCCCAACCUCUCCACUUUCUUCAGCAGAUGGAAGUCUAGCCAGGGCUCCUUAGAAGAGCUGAAACCUGGGAAGGAUCCAAACCUGAAGGAGGAGAAAGAGCCUCUGGUAGGCAGUGAGGACAAAGCUAUGGAAACCCCAACUUCUGACAAGCCACAAGUAAAAGAUGGGGCUGCACCUCAAUCCCAAUGAGUAGCUGUAUUCACCUAGUCUGCUCCUUAACCCCAAAUCUGUUGUCAGCUGCCUCACACUCUGCAUUUGUGAAUAUUUGUGGACCAGAUCCAUUUGUUCAUUCAUUAUUCAGCCGUUCAUCCCCCCUCCAAACCCUGCUGUUUUCCACCUCCCCUUCCCCCGUGCUCCCUUUGAAUCUUCACAAGGAUAAGCUUAGUUGACCCCCAUUUUCCCAGGAUCCCCCUUGGAAUGCUGGGAUCUGACCAGAAGAAUGAAAACUCCAGAGGACCACACUAUCACAUAUACACACUCCCACCCCUACCCCCAGCAGGGGACCCUGAGGACUGCUUCUCAACUACCAUUUGCUUUGGGGACAGCUUAGAGUCUGGAUGUAGCCAUCCAGGUUGCCCUUGGGUGAACUUUGACCUGUGACUUUUCCCAGAGCACUCUGAUUUUGGGCUGGCUGGUAGCUGCUGCAGGGAGCCUGCUAGAGAUCAGUCACUUCUCCUGGAGAAACCUUUAAAGGGACAAGUGUACCUCCCGAGACUGUGACAACAAGCUCUACCAUGGCCAGUGGAACCGCUGUGGCUAUAACUGUAACCUCCAAGACCAGUGGCCCUCCAGUCACUGUGGCUAUUGGUGGCACCCCACGUUCCGGUGCGAAAACAUCCACGUCUACCCCAAAUGCCGCAGCCACCACGUCAGCAAGCCAAGGAGUAAGUGGCAUGUGGCUGUUCUCUCUGCUCAGUGCCUUGGUGGUGGUUUUGGCCCUCAUUAUGGGACUGCUGCUGUGGCACCAGAGGCAGAAGCAAAAGACCCUGAGCAGAGGUGGAAUACGAAAUAGGAUGGUGGAUACCUGUGCUGAGCCAGCCCUGGUUCCUGACGAAGAGGCCACAAACACAUCAGCAUUAGGAGAGGACAGGUGCUCUGGAGCACUGGAGUCAGACAGCAGUGGGCAGCGGCCAAACCUCUCCACUUUCUUCAGCAAAUGGAAGUCUAGCCAGGGUUCCUUAGUACAAGAAGAGCAGAAACCUGGGACGGACCCAAACCUGAAGGGGGAGAAAGAGCCUCUGGUAUGCGGUGAGGACAAAGCUGGGAAAACCCCAACUUCUGACAAGCCACAAGACAAAGACGGGGCUGAACCUCAAUCCCAAUGAGUAGCUGUAUUCACCUAGUCAGCUCCUUAACCCCAAAUCUGUUGUCAGCUACCUCACACUCUGCAUUUGUGAAUAUUUGUGGACCAGA